AUUGAACGCUGGCGGCAGGCCUAACACAUGCAAGUCGAGCGGAGCGGCGGACGGGCGAGUAAUGCCUAGGAAUCUGCCUGGUAGUGGGGGGUAACGUCCGGAAACGGGCGCUAAUACCGCAUACUAUCAGAUGAGCCGAGGUCGGAUGAGCUAGUUGGUGGGGGAAAGGCCUACCAAGGCGACGAUCCGUAACUGGGCUGAGAGGAUGAUCAGUCACACUGGAACUGAGACACGGUCCAGACUCCUACGGGAGGCAGAGUUGGGGAAUAUUGGACAAUGGGCGAAAGCCUGAUCCAGCCAUGCCGCGUAUGUGAAGAAGGUCUUCGGAUUGUAAAGCACUUUAAGUUGGGAGGCGUUACCAACAGAAUAAGCACCGGCUAACUUCGUGCCAGCAGCCGCGGUAAUUC
rnacentral:rRNA from 1 species